AUGUGCCACAUGAAAAGUUGCUCAUGGAGGACAGGGAAUAUACCUAGCUUCAACUUUUUAGGAGGCCUUUCGACCAGAACAUGGAGGCUGAAGCUCAAGCUCAUCCUUGAGAGCAUCUUGACAUAUGCCAGUGCACUGUUGCUGAUAGUGAGGAAACAAAGCUGUGGAAUUUCUUCACAUAGUUGCUGCCAAUGCUGUGGAUUGUGCUUUCAGUAUUGGUGGAUAUCAAUUAGCAUGUAGCUUUGUACGUUUCUGUUUCUUAAAAAAUAUUGCCAAUUAUCUUUCUAAUUCUUUGUGUUGCUAACAAUCAUAAAGACUUUAUGUAAACUGUGAUAGCCUGCAUUUUUUUGUACAUUAGAUGCUUUGUGAUUACCUUGGAAAGAUUAAAAUCAUAUUAGUGCACAUUGCAUCACUUAAGUAUUGCUUUCAUAUACAAAUAGUGAGUCAAUAAGGCGUAUUAUUGAGUCUACAUCUCUUGUGUUUAUUGACAGAAGGGCUUGGAGGCCUAAGUGACUAGAACAUUCUUGAGUUUCUUCAGGAUAACAUGUUCUUUGCUUGUCUUGAAGUAAUUUUCCUCCUCCUUCUAUAAAAGAAAUGUGCACUGGAUGUGUGCUUAUCCAACAAACAAUAAACGUAUCU
ensembl:lncRNA